UGUAAAUAAAUGGGUUGUUGAACAUGACAUGGUUGGUGAGCUGAAUAGAAGUGGACUGGACGGCUGCUUUUUCAAAACCGCCCACAAGUGGACUGAAAAUGACUAUUUUAAAGUAUCAGUAACAAUCAUUUUAUACAAUCUAAAAUAAGGCUGGUUUGGUAUAGGAUUCCAAAUCGAAAAUGGAAUCCCAAAUCCCAAACCUAUUUUUUUUCGAGACAGAGUUUUCAAAAUCAAAACCGAACUGAAAUGAACGUAUUCUCGAAAUCUUUCGUUAUGGUUCGGGAUUCAUCGACCUCCCACCUUCCCUGCCAGCCCACACGACCACACCUCAUCUUAGAUUCGUCAACCUUCCCACCCCCAUCUCCAUCCCUCUCAUUCCUAGGCUUAUCUUUGCUGUCUUCGGAAGACGGAGGGCCUUGCGAAGUGCAUCGAACAAAAUCAGGCUUGAGCGAUGGAUCUGAUGUCUUGGAAGAACGAUUGGGUUCCUCAGACGAAUGCUGCAAUGGGAAUGGUGUUUUGGGAAGAGCAAGCUACGGGUGUGGCUGCUUUUAAAGAUUGAGAAAGCAUUUGGAGGCCUUGAGCUUGCUUCUGCAUUUGAGGGACUCGGUGGAGGGAGAGAGAGAGAGAGUGUGGCUAUCUGUGGGAUGAGAGUGCGAGUUAUCAAGAAAUAAAAUAAAGAACAAAGGUUAGUGAAGACGGCAAUGAGUCAUGAGAUAAAGAAAGAAUAAAAAAAGGAAAAGGCAUUGAAGAAAGGUUAUUGGGCAAAGGAAUGGUUGAUCAAAGUUAUCGGGCAGAGGAAUGGUUGAUUAAAUAAUAUAUAUAUAUAUGUAUAUAUGUAUAUAUCGGUUUGGAUUUCCAAAGGUUAUUGGGCAGAGGAAUGGUUAAUUAAAUAAUAUAUAUGUAUAUAUAUAUAUAUAUCUAUAUAUAUAUAUAUAUAUCAGUUUGGGAUUCUCGAACAAAGAAAAAUAUGAGACUGAUUCCCGUAUCAAACGGUUCGGGAUUAGUUUGGAAUUGGUACCAAGAUUUUUGGGAUUUUCGGUUCGGGAUUUUUUUGGUUUAGGAUCGGGAUUUUUUAUGGUUCGGGAUUAAUAAGAAGAAAUUAAGCUGCUGUUCUGUGUUUAAGAGUGCUUAAUGGAAUCAUACAUACCAGAUCAA